CCUACGGGAGGCAGCAGUGGGGAAUUUUGGACAAUGGGCGCAAGCCUGAUCCAGCCAUGCCGCGUGCAGGAUGAAGGCCUUCGGGUUGUAAACUGCUUUUGUACGGAACGAAACGGCCUUUUCUAAUAAAGAGGGCUAAUGACGGUACCGUAAGAAUAAGCACCGGCUAACUACGUGCCAGCAGCCGCGGUAAU
rnacentral:rRNA from 2 species